AACGCUGGCGGCGUGCUUAACACAUGCAAGUCGAACGCGAAAGGGACUUCGGUCCUGAGUAAAGUGGCGCACGGGUGAGUAACGCGUAGAUAACCUGUCUUCAUGUCUGGAAUAAUACGCCGAAAGGGGUACUAAUACCGGAUAUUCUUGCUUUUCAUAAGUUAUGCAAGCAAAGGUGGCCUCUGCAUAUGCUACUGCAUGAAGAGGGGUCUGCGUACCAUUAGCUAGUAGGUGGGGUAAUGGCCUACCUAGGCGACGAUGGUUAGCGGGUCUGAGAGGAUGAUCCGCCACACUGGCACUGGAACACGGGCCAGACUCCUACGGGAGGCAGCAGUGAGGAAUAUUGCGCAAUGGGGGAAACCCUGACGCAGCGACGCCGCGUGAGUGAAGGAAGGCCUUCGGGUCGUAAAGCUCUGUCAAGAGGAAAGAAGUGUACAAUGGCUAAUACCUGUUGUAUUUGACGGUACCUCUAAAGGAAGCACCGGCUAACUCCGUGCCAGCCGCUGC
rnacentral:rRNA from 1 species